CUCCUCAAACUGAAUACUUUCAAAGAAAAAGAUUUUGAGGUUUUAGAAAUGUUGCCAAUCAUAUUUAUAUAGUACUAAACUAGUAGUGAUUUAGCAUCAAACUAAAGAGUAUUUUUAGAGAAAUGUCCAUCUUACUUCUCUUGGUAUUUUUCCCAUUUCUUAGCUUAGGACAUAGACCAGAGGGUUGUGAGGAUUCUUGGUGCAAGAGUCAUGGUCCCAUCGUUCAUUUUCCGUUCAGACUCAGUCAUCAGCCAAAACAUUGUGGCUAUGAUCCUGGCUUUGAACUACACUGUAACAAUAAAGAUGACACCAUCCUUGAGCUUCCACCGUCUGUUCACUUAGUUGUUGAAAAGAUUGAUUAUGUCUCACAGCAAAUUCACCUUUAUGAUCCUGACCAGUGCUUACCAGCCAAGCUACCAAAACUGAAUUUGUCACAGUCUAAUUUCACAAAUGAUGACGAUCUCACAGUCCUAUUCAAUUGCUCUGAACCAUUCCCAGAAAGUAAUGAUGGUUACUUGGUUCCAUGUCUUGCUUCUUCUGGUUACCAAGUACAUGCUGUUACUUCGACUUUUGACCUUGACCUCUUGUUGUCUGGGCCUUGCACAAAAAUUCAUUAGUAUCCAUACUCAGAUUCAACAUUUGGUGAGAACAUGCUGCAGCUGAAUUGGUCUGUACCACUCUGUGGGAACUGUGAGUUCAAAGGAAUGGAUUGUGGUUUCAAGGAUGGAACAAAACAAUUGGAAACUCAUUGUUUCAAUCGAAAAGCUAUAACCCAAAAAGGUAACAACACUAAGCAGCACUUGAUUGCAGGUGUAGUUUCAGGUGCAGCGCUUGUUUGCAUUAUUGUCUUCUCACUUUAUAAGCUAUAUCUGACAAGUAGAAACGAAAGAGAGAGUCGAGUUAGACUUGAAAAGUUUUUGGAUGACUACAAGGCCAUCAGACCAACACGAUAUACUUAUGCUGAUAUUAAGAAGGUAACAGCUGAUUUUAAUGAAAAGUUAGGAGAAGGGAGUUAUGGAACUGUAUACAAAGGCAAACUUUCCAGUGACAUCUAUGUUGCAGUAAAAGUCCUACGCGAUUCCAAGGGUAAAGGGGAAGAAUUUAUCAAUGAAAUUGAUACAAUUGGGAGAAUCCACCAUGUUAAUGUGGUCCGUUUGGUUGGUUUUUGUGCUGAUGGAUUCAGACGAGCUCUGAUCUACGAAUACCUACCAAAUGAUUCACUUGAAAGGUUUAUUUUACCAGUAAGCUCAAGCCCGGGUAGUGUUUCACUCAUCAGCUGGAACAAGCUUGACCAUAUUGCUCUGGGUACUGCAAGAGGGAUUGAUAUCUUCACCAGGGAUGUGAUCAGCAAAUCCUACAUUUCGAUAUCAAACCACAAAAUAUCCUUUUAGACCACAACUUGAACCCCAAAAUAUGUGAUUUUGGCCUAGCCAAACUGUGUUCUAAAGAAAAAAGUGCGGUCGCUAUGACAGCUGCUAGGGGAACCAUUGGUUACAUUGCACCAGAAGUGUUAUCAAGAAACUUUGGUAAAGUUUCUCAUAAGUCUGAUAUUUAUAGCUUUGGGAUGCUCUUGUUAGAAAUGGUUGGUGGGAGGAUAAAUAUGGAUGCUAAGACGAAUAACCAUAGCAAAGUGAAUUCUUUGGAAUGGAUAUACAGACAUUUGGAGAAAGGGGAAGAAUUAAAGAUUCGGAUAGAGGAAGAAGGAGAUGGUAGAAUUGUGAGAAAGUUAGCUAUUGUUGGACUUUGGUGCAUACAGUGGCAUCCAAUUGAUAGGCCUUCAAUUAAAGAAGUUACUCAGAUGUUGGAAGGAGAUGGAAGCCAUCUCAACUUGUCCCCAAAUCCUUUUAUGGCUACUGAUAAGCCUAAGUUAAAUGCAAGUCCUCACGGUGAAGAUCUAGACGUGAUAUUAGAAAUUGAAUAGCACUUCAAAAUCAUUUGUAUAAGAAUUGCAAAAGUAUUCUGUUUCAUAUUAGUGAUCAGGAAGCUGAAUGAUAAAUAUGUAGACUUAUUUCUCGACUUGUAUGUGUUAAUUAUAUCCUUGCAUUAAAACCAUGUUAAUCGGAAGAAAUUAGUUGAAUGAUAAA